rnacentral:misc_RNA from 1 species
UUCUCAGAGAGUUAACAGCCCUCGCUUCUCCGGCCUCAUGACUCGCCGGGCUCAUUCCUUCAAGCGCAACAACACUAACGCCACCGCCGCCCACGGCACCACCACCACCACCAAUCGCAAUACCCAAGUCACCAACACGAAUAAUAACAAUAGUACCAAUAGCCACGAGAUUAAUUUGCAAGUUAAUUCGCCUAGAUCUGAACAUGUUGAAGUGUUUGAGAGGCAGGGCCACCCCCAAAAUGUGACCCAGAGAAUUCAUGGGGGAGUUGCCAAGAGUUUGCUCAAUAAGAAGGGCGGUUUUGGAUCGGCAGUGGUGGAUUUGGGCUUUAGAGAGAGGAGGAGGUUGGGACACUGGAUGUUUUUUGUGUUUUGUGGGGUGUGUUUG